AAUCAGACACAAAUUAGGACGUGUUUGGAUGAGUAGCUUAAUCAUACUCGUAUGUUCUGAGGUAUAUGGUCAUAGUCCAAACAAGCCUUUCGGCUCAAAUCUUGGGUCUCAACCCCAACCCCAAUCCAAAUCCAAAUGGUCUGUGUGUGUAAAAAGCUCUUCGUUUCUUUCACCUAAAUUAGAUCCAUGAUAGUUGUUCAAAUUUUUGUAGCAUAGGAGUAUUGUAUGGGAGUCAUUUUUGCUUUGAGGGUUUACUUGGAUUUGGAUCUCCUUGGUAUGGGUUUUUUUGAUAGUAUGGUUUUGGAUGUUCCACAAGUACGGGCAAUGGCAAUUGACAUUGCGAAAAUGCCGUUAAUAAAUAGGGCUAAAGGUGAAAGAGAAGGUAUUGACCUUGACAGGUUUGGAGUGGAAUCUGCACCUGCAAUUGUAUUUUUGAAGAAACAUGGAAUCAAACCUGUUGUGUACCAUGGACCUGCCAACAAUUCAUGUUUUGUAGAUAUAAUGGAACAGAAUAAACAUCAAGAGAAAAAGAACUCCUGCACUUGUUCCUGAAGAUGCAGAUCCUAUUUGGUAAGUAGGUGCCAAACCAUUCUGUCCAAAGGGACAGGAAUGAAACAGAGAAUUGGUAGCAUCAUGAAUGGAAUCCACAAUCGCGUGGGAGAUCCAAGGAUUGGCCCAGUCUUCCUCUUGGAAGCAUUCAUGUCUUUUGGCAGCAUCUGGCUGCGAAGGAGCCAAUCAACUCACCCAAGUCAGUCAAAUAAUCAAACUCAACUGAGCAAAAAACUCUUUACUUAUGUGGUGGAUGGCGCUUGGAAUCAAAGUACCAAAGUAGCUGGGCUGGCAUGGGUCUGUUUUGAUGAAGCUCAAGUGCAGGUCUCACAACAAAUGCUCUCUCUCUGUUUGCCUUCUCCUCUAUUGGCAGAAGCUCGAACACUUUUGGAGGCGAUAAAAUGGGCUGUCAAGGCAAAUUCAGUGCCUCUCCAUAUUUACGGAUUGCCAGCUUUUGGUUGAUAGUUUUGUGACAAAAAACAAUCUCGAAUGGGAGGUUGAUUUGGUUGUACAGGAUGUGCUAGUCUUAAGUAAGUUUUUUACGUUUUUAUCUGUAACUAAGGUGGGUAGGGCUCUUGUCGAGCCAGCACACCAGCUGGCAAAAUCUGUAAAACUGCUAUCUCAUGAAUAAUAUAUUGUGCUGUUUUGCUUGAUUCUCGAAAAAAUAAAUAAAUAAAUAUGUUCCUUUCA